AUUGAACGCUGGCGGAAUGCUUUACACAUGCAAGUCGAACGGCAGCACGGGGGCAACCCUGGUGGCGAGUGGCGAACGGGUGAGUAAUAUAUCGGAACGUGCCCAGUCGUGGGGGAUAACGUAGCGAAAGUUACGCUAAUACCGCAUACGAUCUACGGAUGAAAGCGGGGGAUCGCAAGACCUCGCGCGAUUGGAGCGGCCGAUAUCAGAUUAGGUAGUUGGUGGGGUAAAGGCUCACCAAGCCAACGAUCUGUAGCUGGUCUGAGAGGACGACCAGCCACACUGGGACUGAGACACGGCCCAGACUCCUACGGGAGGCAGCAGUGGGGAAUUUUGGACAAUGGGCGCAAGCCUGAUCCAGCCAUUCCGCGUGCAGGACGAAGGCCUUCGGGUUGUAAACUGCUUUUGUACGGAACGAAAAAGCCUUGGCUAAUACCCAGGGUCCAUGACGGUACCGUAAGAAUAAGCACCGGCUAACUACGUGCCAGCAGCCGCGGUAAUACGUAGGGUGCAAGCGUUAAUCGGAAUUACUGGGCGUAAAGCGUGCGCAGGCGGUUAUAUAAGACAGAUGUGAAAUCCCCGGGCUCAACCUGGGAACUGCAUUUGUGACUGUAUAGCUAGAGUGCGGCAGAGGGGGAUGGAAUUCCGCGUGUAGCAGUGAAAUGCGUAGAUAUGCGGAGGAACACCGAUGGCGAAGGCA
rnacentral:rRNA from 1 species